rnacentral:tRNA from 1 species
AGACGAUUAGUCCAAAGAAAGACUACUAAUUUCGGCUUAGUUAAACGUGGUUCAAGUCCAUGAUCGUUUU